GAUGAACGCUAGCUACAGGCUUAACACAUGCAAGUCGAGGGGCAGCAUUGGUAUAGCUUGCUAUCCAGAUGGCGACCGGCGCACGGGUGAGUAACGCGUAUCCAACCUUCCCCAUAGUAGGGCACAGCCCGGCGAAAGUCGGAUUAAUUCCCUAUGUUGUCCAGAGAGGACAUCUGACCUGGACGAAAGAUUCAUCGCUAUGGGAUGGGGAUGCGUCUGAUUAGGUUGCAGGCGGGGUAACGGCCCACCUGGCCGACGAUGCCUAGGGGAGCUGAGAGGCUUAUCCCCCACACUGGUACUGAGACACGGACCAGACUCC
rnacentral:rRNA from 1 species